rnacentral:rRNA from 1 species
UAUGUGAUCGUCUCUCGCAUAUCAAUAAGCGGAGGAAAAGAAACUAACAAGGAUUCCCCUAGUAACGGCGAGUGAAGCGGGAAGAGCUCAAAUUUGAAAUCUUAAAGGGUUUCCCUUUACGAAUUGUAGUUUAAAGAAGUGUUUUUCUGUUGAGGUUUUGGUAAAAGUUCUUUGGAAUAGGACAUCAUAGAGGGUGAGAAUCCCGUAUUUGACCUUUACUUUCAACUUUGUGAUACACUUUCAAAGAGUCGGAUUGUUUGGGAAUGCAGUCCAAAAUGGGUGGUAAAUUUCAUCUAAAGCUAAAUAUUGGCGAGAGACCGAUAGCGAACAAGUACCGUGAGGGAAAGAUGAAAAGAACUUUGAAAAGAGAGUUAAACAGUACGUGAAAUUGUCAAAAGGGAAGCGUUUGACACCAGUGUUGUUUUUCUGAAAAUCAAUUAAAGAACUGUUUAUGCUAAGUUGUUUAGACUUUAUCAGCUAACUGUUUAGUUUUUGAGCUUUUCUUUAAUGCACUUUUCAGUUAACAAGUCAACAUCAAUUUCUUUUGCUGUAAAAAAGCUUGAGGAAGGUGGCUUGAGAUUCGUCCUUAAGUGUUUAUAGCCUCUUGCCUAUGCAGUCGGAGAGAUUGAGGUCUGCAGCGUAGAUCCUUCGGGGCUAAAUGCAUUUGUGCUAAGUUAUAGCAUUUUAUAGACAACUUGUUGACUAUGAUUUGUCUUGUAGCUUACUCGCUUAUGUUAUUUUACCUACGCUUAGGAUGUUGACACACGCGCGUGCUCG